UCCCAAAUCCAAAACGAAUCCAUUUUUCUCUUCCAUUUUUUUCAUUUUCUAGUCUAUGAUCAUGGAUCUCAAGAAGAAAGUUGCGGGGAAUGUGACACGAUGAACGUCGAUCCCACCACCACGAAUACCAUAAGCCCUACCGUUGGUUGUUUCAAGCUCAGGCCCCAUGCGAUUUAUGGAAGCAGAACAGUAGCACAAGUAUGAAGAAAAAAAUUUCUAAACACGAGUUUUUCUAUGAGCAAGUCUUGGACCUCUCCUCAAUGGAAAACCCACAUACCUAUGCCUAUAUCACUAACACCAUCACAAAACUAAAGUGGGAAACCUUCUGUGCCACCAUGGCGACAUUGUUCAGCAACUUGUGUGGGAAUUCUACAACAAUCUUACUGCUGUGCAAAAACCCUUAGGCCCUAUUUGAUUCAUGGAAUAUUUCAUUCCUGGGAGUAAUCUUUUUUUUCGGGUUAAAGAUACACACUUUUGUAUGAUCAUAUUUCCAAAUGAGGGUAAAAACUGAUUGCCAACAGUGGUAUCUUUUUUCUGUUUUACUGAGAAUGUUAAUCCCAUCUACUUUAGGUAUUUGUUUAUUCCCGUCCUCGUUCUCUGAAAUACCCUUCUCUCCGCUUGCGAAAAAAAAUCUUCUUCUUUUACGAUUUGACGAGAGUUGUUGCGAGGAGUUGUCCAUUACUGCUUUGAUUCCCAUUUUUAUUUCCUAGUCUGGAUUUCUUUGGUUCCCAUUUUCAUUUCCCUCGGUGGCUUCGUUUCUCAUUUCAUUUUUCACAGAGAACUUCAAGUAAUGUUCUUUGCACUAGGCCUAGUAAUAUCUCAGUUCAUCAACGAACUCAUCAAAAAAUCCGUUCAACAAGCUCGGCCCAAAACAUAUGCUCUUUUAGAAAUGUGUGAUUCUCACAGUUGGCCUUCGAGCCACUCCCAAUACAUGUUCUUUUUCACCGUUUACUUCACUCUCUUGACUUGCAAAGGAAUUGGUGGGAUUUGCAAAGCCAUGGCGACCAAGAGCAGCUGAUUCAAUAGCAACACAUUGGGUACUACAUCCCAUUGCUGAUUCAAUAAACAUAAAUAACCAAGUGUGGGAAAUGUACUUGAGAAAUCUUAUUCCGAGACUAGUGAAGAAAGGAGAUGAUGGCAACUGUGGAUCUACUGCCGUUUGUGACACCAUGUGUUUGCAGGCUGAAGCCCUUGUUCGAAGCAUGUUCGGCUGCAGAACGUAUAACCGAAGUAGUAAAAGAGUCCCGAAGAUUGAUUUAUACAAUAUGGAAGGGGAAGUUUUGGAUAAUAUCGUAGGACAGGUUGAAUUCAAACAAGUUGAGUCUGCAUACCCUUCAAGGCCAAAGAGCAUAAUUUUCGAG